AACUAAAGCCAUAUCGCCCUGCAACUCACAACUGGCAACCCACUGAAGCUAAGCAGGUAUGAGCCUGGUCAGUACCUGGAUGGGAGACCUCCUGGGAAAAACUAAGGUUUUAGUGG
rnacentral:rRNA from 1 species